GUGGGGAAUAUUGGACAAUGGGCGAAAGCCUGAUCCAGCCAUGCCGCGUGUGUGAAGAAGGUCUUCGGAUUGUAAAGCACUUUAAGUUGGGAGGAAGGGCAGUAAGUUAAUACCUUGCUGUUUUGACGUUACCGACAGAAUAAGCACCGGCUAACUUCGUGCCAGCAGCCGCGGUAAUACGAAGGGUGCAAGCGUUAAUCGGAAUUACUGGGCUUAAAGCGCGCGUAGGUGGUUUUGUAAGUUGGAGGUGAAAUCCCCGGGCUCAACCGGGGAACUGCCUACAAGACUGCAUGACUAGAGUACGGUAGAGGAUAGUGGAAUUUCCUAUGUAGCGGUGAAAUGCGUAGAUAUAGGAAGGAACACCAGUGGCGAAGGCGACUACCUGGACUGAUACUGACACUGAGGUGCGAAAGCGUGGGGAGCAAACAGGAUUAGAUACCCUAGUAGUCC
rnacentral:rRNA from 1 species